CUAAUACCGCAUACGAUCUAAGGAUGAAAGCAGGGGAUCUUCGGACCUUGUGCUCCUGGAGCGGCCGAUAUCUGAUUAGCUAGUUGGUGAGGUAAAGGCUCACCAAGGCCACGAUCAGUAGCUGGUCUGAGAGGACGACCAGCCACACUGGAACUGAGACACGGUCCAGACUCCUACGGGAGGCAGCAGUGGGGAAUUUUGGACAAUGGGCGAAAGCCUGAUCCAGCAAUGCCGCGUGAGUGAAGAAGGCCUUCGGGUUGUAAAGCUCUUUUGUCAGGGAAGAAACGGUGAGGGCUAAUAUCCCUCGCUAAUGACGGUACCUGAAGAAUAAGCACCGGCUAACUACGUGCCAGCAGCCGCGGUAAUACGUAGGGUGCAAGCGUUAAUCGGAAUUACUGGGCGUAAAGCGUGCGCAGGCGGUUUUGUAAGUCUGACGUGAAAUCCCCGGGCUCAACCUGGGAAUUGCGUUGGAGACUGCAAGGCUAGAAUCUGGCAGAGGGGGGUAGAAUUCCACGUGUAGCAGUGAAAUGCGUAGAGAUGUGGAGGAACACCGAUGGCGAAGGCAGCCCCCUGGGUCAAGAUUGACGCUCAUGCACGAAAGCGUGGGGAGCAAACAGGAUUAGAUACCCUGGUAGUCCACGCCCUAAACGAUGUCUACUAGUUGUCGGGUUUUAAUUAACUUGGUAACGCAGCUAACGCGUGAAGUAGACCGCCUGGGGAGUACGGUCGCAAGAUUAAAACUCAAAGGAAUUGACGGGGACCCGCACAAGCGGUGGAUGAUGUGGAUUA
rnacentral:rRNA from 1 species